rnacentral:rRNA from 1 species
GACGAACGCUGGCGGCGUGCCUAAUACAUGCAAGUCGAACGCACUCUCGUUUAGAUUGAAGGAGCUUGCUCCUGAUUGAUAAACAUUUGAGUGAGUGGCGGACGGGUGAGUAACACGUGGGUAACCUGCCCUAAAGUGGGGGAUAACAUUUGGAAACAGGUGCUAAUACCGCAUAAAACCUAACACCGCAUGGUGUAGGGUUGAAAGAUGGUUUCGGCUAUCACUUUAGGAUGGACCCGCGGUGCAUUAGUUAGUUGGUGAGGUAAAGGCUCACCAAGACCGUGAUGCAUAGCCGACCUGAGAGGGUAAUCGGCCACACUGGGACUGAGACACGGCCCAGACUCCUACGGGAGCAGCAGUAGGGAAUCUUCCACAAUGGACGAAAGUCUGAUGGAGCGACGCCGCGUGAGUGAAGAAGGUUUCGGAUCGUAAAACUCUGUUGUUGGAGAAGAAUGUAUCUGAUAGUAACUGAUCAGGUAGUGACGGUAUCCAACCAGAAAGCCACGG